ACCCCUGGAGGCUGAGCGGUGUCACAGCUUCACCUCAUCCAGGUUCAGCUGCAGCCACUUCAUUCUGCAGCUGAGUCCCUGACAAUGAGCCUGGCCGCUUUGCUGCUGGUGCUGGCUCCAGGUGCGUUUGCCCAAUACACGGUGACCCAGGAGCCGUCCCAGGUCGCUGCCAAGGAAGGAGAAUCCAUCCAGCUCAACUGCUCCUACACGGGCACCGAGUACAGCGUGCAUUGGUACCGCCAGCCCCAGGGGGGCCAGCCGCGGUUCCUGGCGCUCCUGUCCUCUAGUCACAGAGACACCCGAGAGAAUUUCACCAUGAGCCUGGACACCGAAACCAAAAGCAGCUUCUUGUACCUGAACAGCAGCCGCCUGGCAGACUCUGCUGUGUAUCUGUGCGCGCUGGAGCACAGUGCCAGGUGAGCACAGGCAGCCCGUCACAAAACCCUGGGUGGGGGCAGGGCACACGGACACGAGGGAGGAGACAAGCAGGAGUUAGAAUAGAACAGCGGAUAUGAGCACAGAGAGAAGAAAGGAAAGUAGACCAGAGUCGGCGAGAGGCUAUAAGAAUAGAAUGGAACAGAAGAGAACACACAGGAACGGACCGGAAUAGGAGCGAUGUGAACAGAAUAAAGGGGAGAGAAGAGAAGAGGGGUCAGUAAUUUAAGGAAGAAACUUGAAGAAUCAGCUGGAAAAUUAUAGACAUUUUCACCUUUUCGCCUUCCCCAAUUGCCUGGAUCUGGUGGUUUUAUAUAAAAAAAAUAGCUUUCUUGCCCCACAACACUAGCAGAUGGGGAAGCAUUCUCUGGGGAGACAAUCCGGUACCUCAGUAAUUCCCAUGUGAUUUUCCCUGUUGUUCAGGUCAGACACUGUCCGACUGGUAAAAUGCACACAGACAUUCUCACAUACAGCCACACACAGGACACACUCGCACAAGUUCUCUCUCUCUCUCUCUCUCUCUCUCUCUCUCUCACACACACACACACAAAUUCUCACAUACAACCACUCUCUAGAUUCUAACACACAGACAGAAACCUACUCACUGAAAUCACACACACACGCACAGUCUCUGACAUAUAUCCCCCCUUCAUACACACUCAGAAAUAUAGAUAGCUAUGCAUACACACCAUGACACACACACACUUAAUCUCAUAGGUAAACAGCUCCAUUCACACUCGAGAUGAUAAUAUCCUCGAUUGGACCAACUUCUGUUGGGGACAGCAACAAAGAAUCCUGUUGGGGACACAAAUUUUCCAGCUACAGAGAGCUCUUUCUCCGCUGGGAAGCGUCUCUCUCUCACCAACAGAAGUUGGUCCAUUAAAAGAUAUGACCUCACCCACCUUGGCACCAACACAGCUACAACAACACGGCACGCUCCUAGAUAAACAGCCUGGACCCCAGAGUGAAUCCCACAUCCAGAGAAUUUCCUGUGUCAGACUUAGAUCUCUCGGCAAAGGGACCCAGUCCUGCCUUUCAUUGCAGGGUCUGACAGACCCCACAGCACCCAUGGACUUGCAUCUGCUCACUGCACUGCUGCGAGGUAUCCCACCCUUUAGUUCUCUGUGCUUUUCUGUUCUCUCUCGCACACUGACACACCUUCCCUCUCACCCUCAGGCAGGAUUUAAGAGCUUGGCGUCCCUUGGUAUUUUACAAGCAAAGAGCUGAGUUUACCCCAGUCCCAUCUCUUCCUGUCAGCUGUACUGACUGAGCACAACAGACACGUGCAGUUUGUAAAACUCCAUCUGUUUCCUGGUGGCUCAUCUCUAUCCUUCCACUGUAAAGGGGCUUCCAGCCAAACGCCCGCCCCUCCCUGGGCGUGACCUCCGCUGCCCUCCCUCGCCCUGUUUUCCCCACACCAGGUCCCAGGUGGUUCCCCGCAGCUCAUGAUAUUAAGGAUCACGGGUGGCUGGGAACAGGGAGAUUCCUUCACCGGGUCCUUGGAAACCACCCACCGGUGCAGCUCGCUCAGCU